rnacentral:lncRNA from 1 species
UUUAGAGUUUGUUCUUCCUAAGUUCAGGAGACUUAGUUGUGAUUCUCAUAUAUUUCUCAUUUUAGUAUCAACAGUGUCUCAGAUGUUUCUCCUGAAAUUCUUUUGGAAAAAUAUAACUGAGACACGAGGAGGAGUCCAAAAUUUAGAAAUUGGCUGUUAAAACAUGGACGAUCUCUAUAUUGUCUUGCUGUAAUUGCUUUUUUAAGUACAUUUUUUAUAUCAUGUUUUAUUGCUUAGAUUUUUAUUGCUUAGGUUACUCUUUCUUUCUUUUUUUCGGUUACAUUUUUUGUUUUUUUACCUUUAAUAGGCAGGACAGUAGGAAGAUAGACAGGAAACAGUGGGAGAGGUGAGAAGAGAACAGAGGAAGGAAAGUACCUUUAGCUGGGACUCAUGCUAUCGGUGCAGGUGCAGUUGUGCCUUCAUGUUUGAUCUGCUGCCUACAAGGCUAUGGUUCUGACAAAGCUUACUUUACGCUCAGGAUACUUAAAUGCCGCUUGGCGUCCUUUCCUGAUCCUGUCCCCCCCUUUCUCUCUCACUUCACUUCCUGUCUACAAUACUCUCCUAUCCUAAUAAAAAGCCAAAAAUGGCAAAAAAUAAAAACAUUGGUGGUUGUACAAAUGGUAAUCAAUACGCCAAAAAACAUGGUUACAACACAUUUACUACAGUAAAACCAUGGUUAAUUUUUGUGAGGGGUAAAUAAACUAUGUUUAUUGUCUUUCAAAGGUACCUACACCAAGAUAUCACUGCUUAUUUGUCAGCAAAAGUCCGUUAAACACAUCAUGCAGUGGACUUUCAACAACUCCGGGGCUUUUUUUGUAUCCCUGCUCACUGACAGUCUUUAAAAUCAUUGAGCCCAGUGCAUUAUGGGUGUUUACGUUUUCCUACCUUUUUUACUCGAGUGCUUUUGCUCUGUUUUCUCUGUUUGUGCAGUAGAAAUUUAAAGGCGCAAAUAACAUUUAUUAAUGUUACAAUGUCAAGAACUCAAAUUUUAGGUCCCGAUUUCUUUGGACUAUUAUUAAAUAACCAUAAUUAGCUCCACUUAAGAAGUAGUUUCACCCAAAACAUUAAUACAAACACACACACACUUCAAGCCCUCCAGACAAACACUCUCUCAAAGACACUAAAAAGGCGGAGAGUGGCUUAAACCAGACUAAGUGCAAUAAAGGUAGACCCUCCUCCCCCAACUUUGCUUCGGGCCUGCAGGCAGUUCAAGUUACAAUCUACUCUGUGUGCAUGUGCACACCUGCUAGCCAUGCACAUCGGCGGAGACACCGCAUUUCUGUGUGAAACGUGAGAAACCUAACAAGACUAAAGACCAAAGAAGACCAACUUACACAUGCUGCUGACACACGCCAGCCUGUCAUAUACUGUUACAAAGGUGCCUAUCUAUCUAUCUAUCUAUCUAUCUAUCUAUCUAUCUAUCUAUCUAUCUAUCUAUCUAUCUACCUACCUACUGUGGUGAAAAAUAUGCCUGGAAACUGUAGCAUGUCUGGCACGAGAAGCAUUUUAAGAUGGGUGUGUUUAUUAUGAAAGAUGUCAUUUGGUGUUCUUAGCAUCCUUUUGUGUUGCACAUUUCUUUCUGAAGGGCUGCAUUUGAAAGGUCAGCGCGUUUGCUACUUGGUUGCCUGUAAUAUGUUGCUGCUAUGACUAGCAUGCUGUUAGGUGGCAUAAUCUGAAGCCAUGGCAUUGUGUGUGCAUGAUUCAUAUUUGCUCUGUGCCUCUCUCUUUAUGAAUACACACUACAAAAAGUACAGGUUUUUUUACACUCAUCCAUAAAACACGAUGAAUGUAAGCUAGUUCAGAAACACAUUUGCAUACAGAUAUUAAGACUUGUUUAGAUUUUAUUUUCAUAUUCCAUUGGGCUAAGAAGUAAUUUGCUAUGGAGUAGUUAAAUUACAUUUUUAUUUUAUUAUAAGAAUAAAGUUAUAUUUUCCAAAAGCAUGUCUUAAUGUUAUGGUUAUGAAAUGCUCCAAUUCGACUGUAAUGAGUUAUAUGAACAACUUAUAUGAUGCUAUCUAUUUCUUUGAAACUUGAAAGCCUAUUAAUUGUAACUUCAUGCAAAAUUUAAUUGUAACUUCAUGCAAAAUAACUUGGAAAAUAGGCUUCAAAUAUUAAUAUCCUUUCAAUGAUCCACAUUCAGUUAUUAAAACACUCAUUAAAAACUUCCAAAUACACAUUAAAAAUUCUUCAUUAACAUUAAAUACAUUAUAUAUUAACAUGAAUUUUAUAUGAAUAUAAAAAUUUGUUUUUCCUUAACAUUUAAUACUUAAAAUAUUUUUAUAUAUAUAUAUAUAUAUAUAUAUAUAUAUAUAUAUAUAUAUAUAUAUAUAAUGUUCCUUGUAGUUUUAAGCUCUGUUUUCCUGGCUUACCUUCAGACCUAAUCUGUGUGUAAUAGAGUUAAUCAUAACAGCUUUCACCUUGACAUCUCUCAAAGAAAAACAAACACACACACACACCAUAUAAGAAUAUUUAUCUGACUGAGGUGAACAUUUGUACACCUGCUAAACACAUUCAGCAGCAAGUUAUUCAAGUUAACACACUCUUUAUUGUUAUUCUGUGUACUACGUAACACAUAAUAGGUGUCAAAACAUUGCUGGCCUGACGCCAUAGAUCUUAAUGCUAUGACUCAUACACAAGUACACAGAUUUCAGGCGCUAGUGUCAGUCACCAGUCAAAGCCUUGAGCGUUAAAUGAUGUUUAAAACUGAUCUGCAGUCAAAGAGUCCAGCAGAUGUUUACUCGCACUGCACAGGUGUGGAAAGCAUCCAUGCCAGAGAAAGAGAAUGAGUGAUAAACUAUAAACUAAACCAAAAUUAAACCAACUAUUUCAUGGAAAAAGCUGUUUUAGGCUACACCAAAUUUGUUUAAAUUUGAAUAUGAAUUGAAUGUGAACCUUAAGUUCAAUUGAAUUGAACUGAGCUAGAUAAAGAGAAAAACAUGACAUCAGAGUUAACUAUUGAAACUAGAUGAAUGUAAACGAAGAAGUGAAUUAGCCUGAAUUAAGUUAAAAAAUAAUUGUGAAAAUAGUCAAUUAAAUAAUUUUUCUUUGUAACAAAAUACAAAUACAUAUAUACACACACACACACACACACACACAGACACACACACACUCUAAAAAACCCUGGGUUGAGACCGUUGGGUAGGACGUUGGGUUGUUUUAACCCAGUUUUGGGUUGAAAAGUGGUCUUGGAACACGGACGUGAAAGAGAGCACGCACGUCACGUUAGCAUGAGGCGACGACAGUGCGAGAAGCCGCCAUUUUCUCAGCGUGAAAGAAGUGAGAAGUGAGUGAAAGACAUUAUGGUAAGUAAAGAUUCAAAAUGUAAAGUUAUCAUUCAUUGUUUAUGUCCGGGAGUAUUUUGAGGUUUCAUGAAAGGCAGAAAUAAAAGAGCUUAUAUUGAAAAAUACAUGGACACGGCUUUUGCCUAAAAAAUGAAGGUCUUAACGGCCUCUUUUACUGAACGGAAGAGGUACUUUUAAUAUAACGUGCGUGAGUGUCUUAUGUCAUAUUUACAUAAGAUUUUACAAUAUCUGCACUUUUUGAGGUAUUAAUAGACGGUUAUGGUUACGGUUACACUCAUGUUAAUUUGUUAUCUUAUUUUUAGCGGUUAAACUGAAUGUACGUUAGUUUUCUUAUGUAAUAAAGACUAGCAUGAUUAUUUUGAGGCUGUUGAAGUGGUAAUUGUUAAAAGUAAUGUUUUGCAUGUAAUAUUUCAGACUUGUUGAGCUUGUGUCUUCAUUGUGGCCGUGUCGGGAGUUAACUAACAUUACACAGAAGACAGCUUUUGUGAGGAGGGGGCGGUGUUCUCAGCUUCUUCAGAAGAGAGGGAAAGACGGUUUUAAGGCAAGUAACAUAUACAUCAUAAUUCCAUCAUGUUAUCACUUUUUUUUACUAAGACUAAAAGAAUGUUUGUUUUUGUAGAUGUUGAAAGCCAGAGACAAGACAACUUCAUACUUUUGAGACUGAUGUGAGUUAUUUUUAGAAAAUAAUGUUUCUGUUGUGUCCUGCCUGUUUACUUCACAUUUUGAUGCAACAACAGUAUGACUACAUAUUUCAUUAUUUAUUUAAACCAUUGAUUGUCCCUUUUUUCUUGCUAGAACUCAAACUAACUUUGGUUGAUGCAACAACAGUAUGACUACAUAUUUCAUAUUUUAUUUAAACCAUUGAUGUCCCUUUUUUCUUUGCAGAACUCAAACUAACUUUGGAGUUAAGGACACAGAAGCCUGCUUGUGUGAGGAGGAGGUGAUUUUUCUCAGCUUCUUCAGAAGAGAGGGAAAGACAGUUUUAAGGCAAGUGAACCUCAUAAUUCCAUGUUAUCAGUUUUUUUUUUUUUAAGUAAGUAAAGAGAAGGACGGUUUUAAGGCAAGUAACGUAAACUUCAUAAUUCCAUCAUGUUAUAAUUUUUUUUAUUUUACUAACACUAAAAUAAUGUUUGUUUUUGUAGAUGUUGAAAGCCAGAGGCAUAAGAGAGCAUCAUUUCUUUUGAGAUUUAUGUAAGUUAUUUUUAGAAAAUAAAUGUUUCUGUUGUCUCCUGCCUUUUUUACUUCCC